UAAGUUCCUCAGACUGGCGGGCCCCCAGGCUGGGCUGGGCGAGUGCCUCUUCAAAAGGCUCACCCUUACGCACAGCUAGUAGA
rnacentral:pre_miRNA from 1 species